UACAGGCGUGAGCCACCGCACCCGGCAGGUCCCACCACCUUUUAACUAACUGCCCCUCAGUCCCCUCAUGUCCUCACUUCUCUCCUUACCCAGCAUGGUAGGCAGAAUUAUCUGAUGACCCCCAUAGUAUCUCUACCCCAUUAUUAUGCCCUGUAUAAUCCCCCUUCCCUUGAAGGGGGUGGUCAUUGUGACUUGCUUCUAACCGAUAGAAUAUGGCCAGGAUGAUAGGAUUUCACUCCUCUGAUUUGCCCUGCCCCUACCUCUCUCUCUGUCUCUCUCUAGAUAUAGCUAUGGCUCCAUCUUGCUAGCAUGCAAAGAACUCAAACUGAUGGCCUUGAAGAAGCAAGAAGCUGCUAUGCUAUUGUGUACUACCUAUGGAGAUGGCCACAUGGUAGGCAGCCCCUAGGGUCUGAGGGCCUUAGUUCUACAACCACAAAGAAUUAAAUUCUGCCAACAACCAUGUAAGUUUGAAAGAGGACCUAAACCUCAUAUGACGCUGUGGUCCUGGACAACAUCCUGAUUGCAGCCUGUGUGACCCUGAGCAGAGAAUCUAGUUAAGCUGUGCCUGGAUUUCUAACCCAUGGAAACUGGGAGACAAUAUGUGUUUUUUUACAGCUGUUAAAUUUGUAGUAAUUGGUUAUGUGGCAAUACAAAACUAAUACACUCAGCUUAGAUUUCAUUAUUCAUCAUUGUAAUCACUCCCUUGCAAACAUCCUUACUAUUCUAGCCCUUGUGGCCAACAGAUGCUAAAGUGACCUCCAGUAAUCCCCACCACCUGGUGUUUAUGCCCUAUGUAAUCUUAUCUUCUGGAGUGUCAGCAGAACCUGUGACUUGUUUCUAGCCUUCUAGACUAUGGCAGGCCAGGUGCAGUGGCUCAUACCUGUAAUCCCAGCACUUUGGGAGGCUGAGGUGGGAGGAUCUUUUGAGCCCAGGAGUUUAACACCAGCCUGGAAACAUAGCAAGA
rnacentral:lncRNA from 10 species